GUCAGUACAUACUGAAUUAAAGUGAAACCGCAAAGGGCUCAGUAAACCAGUUUUAAUUUACUAGAGUUUUCACGUUUUUUACGUGGAUAACUGUGGUAAUUCUAGAGCUAAUACAUGCAACUAAGUCCGGACCAGAAAUGGAAAGGACGCCUUUUAUUAGAUCAAAACCAUUCGCCCGGCUUGUUCGGGCGUUGUUUUGGUGAAUCUAGAUAACACUUAAGAUCGUACAGUCACCGUACUGACGACAUCUCUUUCAAACGCCUGACUUAUCAGCUGUCGAUGGUAGACUCUGUGUCUACCAUGGCCCUCACGGGUAACGGGGAAUCAGGGUUCGAUUCCGGAGAGGGAGCCUGAGAAACGGCUACCACAUCCAAGGAAGGCAGCAGGCACGCAAAUUACCCACUCCCGGCACGGGGAGGUAGUGACAAAAAAUAACGAUACGGGACUCUAUUGAGGCCCCGUAAUCGGAAUGAGUACACUUUAAAUCCUUUAACAAGGAUCCAUUGGAGGGCAAGUCUGGUGCCAGCAGCCGCGGUAAUUCCAGCUCCAAUAGCGUAUAUUAAAGUUGUUGCGGUUAAAAAGCUCGUAGUUGGUUCUGCGUGCCACGCUGUCGGUUCGCCGCCUGUCGGUGUAACUGGCAUGUCGUGGCAUGUCCUGUCGGUGGUGAACGGGAUCCCUGGUACGACGUAGGCUUUUAUAGCUGAAAUCUGUGCCGUGUGUGUUUCCGUUUGCCGAUCUCUCCUACUCCGGUGCUCUUAAACGAGUGUCGAGGUAGGCCGACACGUUCACUUUGAACAAAUUAGAGUGCUUAAAGCAGGCUAAAAUAUCUGCCUGAAUAGUGGUGCAUGGAAUGAUAAAACAGGACCUCAGUUCUAUUUUGUUGGUUUUAGGAAUAUGAGGUAAUGAUCAAUGUGGACUGGCGGGGGCAUUCGUAUUGCGACGUUAGACUUGGCAAAUGCUUUCGCGGUGAAAUUCUUGGAUCGUCGCAAGACGCACUAGAGCGAAAGCAUUUGCCAAGUAUGUCUUAAUUGAUCAAGAACGAAAGUUAGAGGUUCGAAGGCGAUCAGAUACCGCCCUAGUUCUAACCAUAAACGAUGCCAGCCAGCGAUCCGCCGAUGUUCCUUUAAUGACUCGGCGGGGAGCUUCUACUCGGGAAACCAAAGCUUUUGGGUUCCGGGGGAAGUAUGGUUGCAAAGCUGAAACUUAAAGGAAUUGACGGAAGGGCACCACCAGGAGUGGAGCCUGCGGCUUAAUUUGACUCAACACGGGAAACCUCACCAGGCCAGGACAUUGGAAGGAUUGACAGAUUGAUAGCUCUUUCUUGAUUCAGUGGGUAGUGGUGCAUGGCCGUCUUAGUUGGGGAUCGAGUGUCUGGU
rnacentral:rRNA from 1 species